rnacentral:rRNA from 1 species
GUGCCAGCCGCUGCGGUGAUACGUAGGGUGCGAGCGUUGUCCGGAUUUAUUGGGCGUAAAGAGCUCGUAGGUGGUUGAUCACGUCGGAAGUGAAAACUUGGGGCUUAACCCUGGGCGUGCUUUCGAUACGGGUUGACUUGAGGAAGGUAGGGGAGAAUGGAAUUCCUGGUGGAGCGGUGGAAUGCGCAGAUAUCAGGAGGAACACCAGUGGCGAAGGCGGUUCUCUGGACCUUUCCUGACGCUGAGGAGCGAAAGCGUGGGAGCAAACAGGCUUAGAUACCCUGGUAGUCCACGCUGUAAACGGUGGUACUAGGUGUGGGUCCAUUCCACGGAUUCCGUGUCCGUAGCUUAACGCAUUAACGUACCCCGCCUGGGAGUACGG